rnacentral:misc_RNA from 1 species
AAGUCGUAACAAGGUAACCGUAGGUGAACCUGCGGUUGGAUCAUUACUAUAUAUAUAUUCUUUGAGCGGGGUAGUCAUACCCUGUCUCUCAGAACAGACCCCCUUGUGAACCAAAAUCUGAAGUUGGUGGCCCGCCGUUCUUAGUACUCUUCUUGAUGUGAAAUUAGGAAGGUGGAAAGGAAAUUCGCUUUUUAAGUGAAGGGCUGCCAGCGCCCCUUUUGGCGUAUGCUGAAAGGUUAUAUACCUAUGCAUAUUUUAAGUCUAUUUUAAGUAAGGCCUUUUGUAAAAGAUUGGCUUAUUUGUUAAUUGAAAGUACAACUUUUGACAAUGGAUCUCUUGGCUCUCC